UACGUAGGGGGCGAGCGUUGUCCGGAAUUACUGGGCGUAAAGAGCUCGUAGGUGGUUUGUCGCGUUGUCCGUGAAAACUCACAACUCAAUUGUGGGCGUGCGGGCGAUACGGGCAGACUGGAGUACUGCAGGGGAGACUGGAAUUCCUGGUGUAGCGGUGGAAUGCGCAGAUAUCAGGAGGAACACCGGUGGCGAAGGCGGGUCUCUGGGCAGUAACUGACGCUGAGGAGCGAAAGCGUGGGGAGCGAACAGG
rnacentral:rRNA from 1 species